rnacentral:rRNA from 1 species
GGGAACCGGAGCUAAUACCGAAUAACAUUUAUUGAACGCAUGUUUAAUAAAGUCAAAGAAGGCCUCUCGAAGAAGCUUUUGCCAAUGGAUGGAUCCGCGUCUGAUUAGCUAGUUGGUAAGUAACGGCUUACCAAGGCGACGAUCAGUAGCCGGCCUGAGAGGGUGAACGGCCACACUGGGACUGAGACACGGCCCAGACUCCUACGGGAGGCAGCAGUGGGGAAUCUUCCGCAAUGGGCGAAAGCCUGACGGAGCAAUGCCGCGUGAAAUGAAGAAGGCCUUCGGGUUGUAAAGUUCUGUUGAGAAGGAAGAAAGGUAUUAGAGCUAAUACCUCUAGUAUUUGACGGUACUUUUUGAGGAAGCCCCGGCUAACUACGUGCCAGCAGCAGC